UACGUAGGGACCAAGCGUUGUUCGGAUUUACUGGGCGUAAAGGGCGCGUAGGCGGCGGCUCAAGUCGGGGGUGAAAUCCUCUCGCUCAACGAGAGAAUUGCCUUCGAUACUGGGUCGCUGGAGGGGGAUAGGGGUGCGCGGAACUUCCGGUGGAGCGGUGAAAUGCGUAGAUAUCGGAAGGAACGCCGGUGGCGAAAGCGGCGCACUGGAUCCCUACUGACGCUGAGGCGCGAAAGCCAGGGGAGCAAACGGG
rnacentral:rRNA from 1 species